UACGUAGGGUGCGAGCGUUAAUCGGAAUUACUGGGCGUAAAGCGUGCGUAGGCGGUCCGCGAAGUCUGAUGUGAAAGCCCCGGGCUCAACCUGGGAACUGCAUUGGAAACUAACGGGCUCGAGUGUGGCAGAGGGGGGUGGAAUUCCACGUGUAGCAGUGAAAUGCGUAGAGAUGUGGAGGAACACCGAUGGCGAAGGCAGCCUCCUGGGCCAGCACUGACGCUCAUGCACGAAAGCGUGGGGAGCAAACAGG
rnacentral:rRNA from 1 species